rnacentral:lncRNA from 1 species
CCGGCCGCAACAGAGAGGGAUCCUUGGGGCACUAAAAGUGAAUAAAAUCUGCAUCUUCGACUGACAGUUUAUAGGAGAGCAACUGCUAACUAACCAAGACCUGCCCCACUCCAAAGCCCCUCACUCCUGCUGUGACGUCACCCUCCCAAGCCCCGAGGGGUACUCAGCACUCAGCACUCAUUCCCCGGAGGUGGGGCAGGAACCCUUUCUCCCCAUCUUCUCAUCUCUGGCUGAUGAAAGUCUCUUAAUUAAGCCCUUCGGGGACUUGCUGACCACUCCACUUGAGACUGGGAAUUACACAGAAUGUUUGCCUGAAGAGGCUGGGAGAAAGGUUCGGAAUGUAGACCAGCUGCAGCUGCUCUGACAGACCACAGAGACCUGGAGGUGGAGGGUUCAACAAUAGGAAUACACCUUUCACCACUGUGGAGGUUGAAACCAAAAAUCAAGAUGGCAGCUCAUCUACUGUCUCUCCAUACCACCCCUCUCAGUGAAUGGCAGUGCGCACUAACGCACAGAUGUGGUAUGUGAGCCUUCAGGCCAUCGUCCUGGGCCUGCCGAAUUCAGCCCUGCUCGGAACUCAGUACAAAAGAACAGACUUUGAAUGAAGCCUGGGAUCAAGGUCCAGUCUUGGCAAAUACAGGUAUACGGAUCAGAACACAGCUCUGGCCUGGGUGAGUCUUGAUCAACACCAUACUGUAGACGGUAUGUAGUGGGAGGAUCUCUCCCUCAAUUGUGGGUGGAGUUACUGGCAAUAGGCGAACCUGAACACACUAAACAACCAACUUAAAGGGUGAGCCUGCUGCUGGCUCCCCAGGGGACCUGACACCUCCCUCUGCAGAGUCCACUUGAAGCCUCACAUCCUUGAGACACCAGACGCCAGAGGUUAAUAGCAGACCUCGCUGUUGGCUGCGCGUUCUGAAAACACAGUUAUUUGUCAGGCAUUGUCUGGAGUUUGCCCCAAGUGCUAUUUUGGUUGAUUGCCGGUUAGGUGUGUGCCGUCUGUCACAUUUAAUUUGCAC